GCGGUCUUAGCUCAGCUGGUUAGAGCGCUCCCCUGUCACGGGAGAGGUCGUGGGUUCAAGUCCCAUAGACCGCG
rnacentral:tRNA from 1 species